rnacentral:rRNA from 1 species
GAUCCUGGCUCAGAUUGAACGCUGGCGGCAGGCCUAACACAUGCAAGUCGAGCGGAUGAAGGGAGCUUGCUCCUGGAUUCAGCGGCGGACGGGUGAGUAAUGCCUAGGAAUCUGCCUGGUAGUGGGGGAUAACGUCCGGAAACGGGCGCUAAUACCGCAUACGUCCUGAGGGAGAAAGUGGGGGAUCUUCGGACCUCACGCUAUCAGAUGAGCCUAGGUCGGAUUAGCUAGUUGGUGGGGUAAAGG